rnacentral:tRNA from 2 species
GGUCGCGUAGCUCAGCUGGUAGAGCACUACCUUGACAUGGUAGUGGUCGUUGGUUCAAGUCCAAUCGUGGCCACCA